AUCCCUGGCUCAGGACGAACGCUGGCGGCGUGCUUAACACAUGCAAGUCGAGCGGAAAGGCCCUUCGGGGUACUCGAGCGGCGAACGGGUGAGUAACACGUGAGUAAUCUGCCCUUGGCUUUGGGAUAACUACCGGAAACGGUGGCUAAUACCGGAUACGACAACCGUCUGCAUGGACUGGUUGUGGAAAGUUUUUUCGGCCAGGGAUGUGCUCGCGGCCUAUCAGCUUGUUGGUGGGGUAAUGGCCUACCAAGGCUUCGACGGGUAGCCGGCCUGAGAGGGUGACCGGCCACACUGGGACUGAGACACGGCCCAGACUCCUACGGGAGGCAGCAGUGGGGAAUAUUGGACAAUGGGCGGAAGCCUGAUCCAGCAACGCCGCGUGAGGGAUGACGGCCUUCGGGUUGUAAACCUCUUUCAGUACCGACGAAGCGCCGAUGAUGGUGGUGACGGUAGGUACAGAAGAAGCACCGGC
rnacentral:rRNA from 1 species